AUGCUUAACACAUGCAAGUCGAACGGUAACAGAUAAGAUGAUCUCUUCGGAGUGAAUCUUUGCUGACGAGUGGCGGACGGGUGAGUAAUGCUUGGGAAUCUGCCCAAUAGUGGGGGAAAACUCGGGGAAACCCGGGCUAAUACCGCAUAAUCUCUACGGAGGAAAGAGGGCCUCUACUUGUAAGCUCUCGCUAAUGGAUGAGCCCAAGUCAGAUUAGCUAGUUGGUAAGGUAAUGGCUUACCAAGGCUACGAUCUGUAGCUGGUCUGAGAGGAUGAUCAGCCACACUGGGACUGAGACACGGCCCAGACUCCUACGGGAGGCAGCAGUGGGGAAUAUUGCACAAUGGGCGCAAGCCUGAUGCAGCAAUGCCGCGUGUGUGAAGAAGGCUCUCGGGUUGUAAAGCACUUUCAAUAGAGAAGAAAAGCUUGAAAUUAAUACCUUCAAGCCUUGACGUAACCUAUACAAGAAGCACCGGCUAAUUCCGUGCCAGCAGCCGCGGUAAUACGGAAGGUGCGAGCGUUAAUCGGAAUUACUGGGCGUAAAGCGAGCGUAGGCUGUUAAUUAAGUCGAAUGUGAAAUCCCCGGGCUCAACCUGGGAACUGCAUUCGAAACUAUUUAACUAGAGUAUGGGAGAGGAAAGUAGAAUUUCCGGUGUAGCGGUGAAAUGCGUAGAUAUCGGAAGGAACACCAGUGG
rnacentral:rRNA from 1 species